rnacentral:rRNA from 3 species
CGGUGGCGAUGCGCUUAGGGGAAACACCCGUUCCCAUCCCGAACACGAUGGUUAAGACCUAAGCGGCCGAUGGUACUAUGCUGGAGACGGCAUGGGAGAGCAGGUGGCUGCCGGAUU